CAAGUCGAGCGAACAGAUAAGGAGCUUGCUCCUUUGACGUUAGCGGCGGACGGGUGAGUAACACGUGGGUAACCUACCUAUAAGACUGGGAUAACUUCGGGAAACCGGAGCUAAUACCGGAUAACAUUUGGAACCGCAUGGUUCUAAAGUGAAAGAUGGUUUUGCUAUCACUUAUAGAUGGACCCGCGCCGUAUUAGCUAGUUGGUAAGGUAACGGCUUACCAAGGCAACGAUACGUAGCCGACCUGAGAGGGUGAUCGGCCACACUGGAACUGAGACACGGUCCAGACUCCUACGGGAGGCAGCAGUAGGGAAUCUUCCGCAAUGGGCGAAAGCCUGACGGAGCAACGCCGCGUGAGUGAUGAAGGGUUUCGGCUCGUAAAACUCUGUUAUUAGGGAAGAACAAAUGUGUAAGUAACUGUGCACAUCUUGACGGUACCUAAUCAGAAAGCCACGGCUAACUACGUGCCAGCAGCCGCGGUAAUACGUAGGUGGCAAGCGUUAUCCGGAAUUAUUGGGCGUAAAGCGCGCGUAGGCGGUUUCUUAAGUCUGAUGUGAAAGCCCACGGCUCAACCGUGGAGGGUCAUUGGAAACUGGGAAACUUGAGUGCAGAAGAGGAAAGUGGAAUUCCAUGUGUAGCGGUGAAAUGCGCAGAGAUAUGGAGGAACACCAGUGGCGAAGGCGACUUUCUGGUCUGUAACUGACGCUGAUGUGCGAAAGCGUGGGGAUCAAACAGGAUUAGAUACCCUGGUAGUCCACGCCGUAAACGAUGAGUGCUAAGUGUUAGGGGGUUUCCGCCCCUUAGUGCUGCAGCUAACGCAUUAAGCACUCCGCCUGGGGAGUACGACCGCAAGGUUGAAACUCAAAGGAAUUGACGGGGACCCGCACAAGCGGUGGAGCAUGUGGUUUAAUUCGAAGCAACGCGAAGAACCUUACCAAAUCUUGACAUCCUUUGAAAACUCUAGAGAUAGAGCCUUCCCCUUCGGGGGACAAAGUGACAGGUGGUGCAUGGUUGUCGUCAGCUCGUGUCGUGAGAUGUUGGGUUAAGUCCCGCAACGAGCGCAACCCUUAAGCUUAGUUGCCAUCAUUAAGUUGGGCACUCUAGGUUGACUGCCGGUGACAAACCGGAGGAAGGUGGGGAUGACGUCAAAUCAUCAUGCCCCUUAUGAUUUGGGCUACACACGUGCUACAAUGGACAAUACAAAGGGCAGCUAAACCGCGAGGUCAUGCAAAUCCCAUAAAGUUGUUCUCAGUUCGGAUUGUAGUCUGCAACUCGACUACAUGAAGCUGGAAUCGCUAGUAAUCGUAGAUCAGCAUGCUACGGUGAAUACGUUCCCGGGUCUUGUACACACCGCCCGUCACACCACGAGAGUUUGUAACACCCGAAGCCGGUGGAGUAACCAUUUAUGGAG
rnacentral:rRNA from 1 species